GCGACCUGCCAUCGGUGCGCACUGCGCGGUGCUGUUGCAAAUGGCAGCUGCUUUUGGAUCACGCAUAGAUGGCAGAUUAAUAAUGAACGCAGCUAUUUGCGGUUUUAGUGAGAUACUAACACUACAGGUAUUAUAGAAACAUAUUGGCAUCAACUCUUCCAAGAAUUUGACAACUUUGCGCUGAAACGUCCAGUAUUACGGAUUCUUCGAGACAACUGGACAGGGGUGUUUUUUGCGCUUCCGAUUUCAUUGCGCAUACAGCGAGAGCGUCAGAGAGGGAGAGAAAGAGAUCCGUCACAGCCUCUCAGCACAACCGGGUCAAGCCCACGUGAAUUCUUGUUGGGACCAGAUCGCGGCCGGCCCGGGGGGUAAUCAAGCAUGUUCCAGCCACAAACAAUGUUCUGAUAGAGAGAUUCGAAGCUCCUCAUCCCGCUGUGUGGAGAAGAAAAGAUUGAGUCUCUCAUUCAUCACUUUUAGAUCAGUAUUGAUCAGCUGGCAGGACGGCGGUAGAGUGAUUUACACUGGCCUUUUACGACGACGAUGGGGGCGUCUGACCCAUGCAGUGGCUAAAAGCCUCUCAUCUCCAGCAACCAGACAUGAUGGCCAAUGAGAUAUGCUGACGUAUCGCUGGAUCUCAGACUUCUUCUGACCUGUGGUGGAAAAAGCUUCUGACUGGAUGGGAAAAACAACACCUUUCACAUCAAAUAUGUUCUCUAUUAAGAGUGGACAACAAAGUGCCUGAGGUCAGCAAAAAUGUCAGGACACAGCAGAGCGACAGACCUUGCAAGGACAAUUUCCUUUAUUAUUAAGGUCUUUCUAAGCUGAACUCACGGACAUGAAUUUUCCAUCUCUGAAGCCGCCAAAAGUGAUUAAUGAGACAAAAUCCAGACAGACUGUGGAAUAAACCUGAGCGACGCCACCGUCCUUUGAAAUUCAGCUUUCUUGAGGUUGCAUCAGCGAGAUGUGAAGCAGAUAAAUGAACGACUUUUGUUCGAAUUGUCAAAAACUGUCACAGGCCUAGUCUGACGGGUGCUGGGACCACCGACUGGGUGCUUCGGCUCAGACUAUGAUUUUGACUGAUUUCUUGGCGUUUUUGAGAUGGAUUGGAUCAGAAAAUCAGCCCUGAAGUGAAGCAAGUCAAUGAAGAAACAAUGCCCUCAGCUUUAUAGACAAAAUAUUUAUGUGUAAACUGUCAUGUUUUCAGACUUCUUGGUGUCGAUCACAUUAAAAUAAUGGUCUCUCUAGUUCCACUUCACCCUGUUUGCUCAUGUUGCUGCCUGGAAAAAUCAAGAGCAUCACUGUGUCAAAAAUGUUUUUGUUUUCCUCUUAUAGAAGUCAAAAUGUAUUUUACUAUGAUUUAUUUUCACAAAAUGCAUUUGGAUGAUUAAACUAAGCUGCAUGGAAUACAUUUCUGUCUUACAGUCUUAAAUGUGGAAUGCAAUAAUAUCGAAAUACAAAAGGAGCAGCCAUGAUAAGAUUUGAUUAGAUUCACUUAAUGUUAAGGAAAGUAACUUCAACUUGCUUUUUCACAAAACAGUUAAAGCAUAUUUUAAACCAGUAGGUUACAGCAGUGUAGUUGCUUGUAAGAGAGGCCUCGAGCCGCCUUUACUCACCAACUGUAAAUAUCUCUUGCUAGCUCAGAGCAGUAUGACUGAUGGAUUAACAUAAUCUGCCCUAUGCAACCUUUAUGCUUACACAGUUGACACAGAGAUGGGGAGAAAACGUCUCUUGAAAGUCUCUUGUUUCCUUGAGCACAGAAAUGCUUGAUCAUCCCCAUUUUUUUUAUUUAACCACUAUUUUACCAAGAUGUCCCUUUACAUAAAAUCCAUUUUUCUUUUUUGUGAAAGACCUGGCCAAGAGGUAGUACACAAAACAGAAAAUAAAAGGUACAUACCAUCAAUUAAAAUGAGGCUUUUUCUUUGUCCUUCUUGUUUGGAGCUGUAUCAUUCAAAGUGACAUUUGUACAGUCUGACUGAUCAGGAUUUACAUUAAACGAGUGAGCAGUAGUAAGAUAAGAUACAACAGGCAAACCUCUACCAUUGAUUUCUUGCGCAAUAGACUCUAUUGCUGCCAUGGCGAGUGAGAGUUUUGCAGGACCAAAGUGCAGACAAGAGCGAGGAAGCAGCAUGGUGAGUAGAUGAAUGCUUUUUAAUAAGAGCCGGUUAACUUACAGUCUUAUGCAGGACAAGAAAAACACAGGCAGGUCUAAGGAUAUGAAAUGGGUUGUUUUCAGGAGGAACCAGUGGAGAAUAAUGACAAUAAGGGAGUAUAAAGAUUGAGGGAGAGUGGAGAAUGGACCAAUGAACCAAUGGAGUUAAUCAGAGGGGAAUCAGGAUCAGCUGGUGGGAGAAAGAAAAUAACUGAGGGAGAGUGAUUAAUUAUUACCCAGGCUGGAUCGUCAUACUGCUUUGUUAAGCUCACUUUGUGUCUGACCUUUGGAGUAAGGAAAUACUUAUUCAUUAUUUCGUUCUUAGUUCCACUCCUACUUACUGUUCGCUUCUUCUUUACAGCCCCUUUACAUGUACCAGUGCAACCAGUAUUCCUGUAUUCAAUAAACUUAUUAUAAACUU